rnacentral:tRNA from 1 species
GGCCUGAUGGUCUAGGGGUAUGAUUCUCGCUUAGGGUGCGAGAGGUCCCGGGUUCAAAAUCCCGGUCAGGCCC